GGUUCAGUGGUGUAGUUGGUUAUCACGUCUGUCUCACAAGCCAAAUGGGCUAAGAUCACAGGAGGUCUCCGGUUCGAGCCCGGACUGAACCA